rnacentral:lncRNA from 1 species
GAACAUUGGAAGAAAUGGGCUAGAAGAGGAAGCCCAUAGGUUCAGCCCUGGGGAAUGGAGCAUAAAAAGCCUGGGAAAGAGGGUGCAGGAAGGACUUGCGGAAACAGCCGCUUGGCUUGCACAUCAGGAUCCCUGACCCCUGAGCCCAGGUACAGCCUCAGCAGGAAGCGACUCAGCAGUGGGGGUGGCCUCUUCAGGGAGGCUGUGGCUCCCUGCCCGGCACUUUGGACAGGAUGCUCCAGUCAGUGAGUGACAAGACCAGCCCCCUCAUAAUAUAGUCAAGGGUAGAACCCAAUGGCUCAACUCUGUGGGCCUGUAUACACUAUAUAUACAUUGUAUAUGCCAUAUAUACUAUAUUUAUGCUAUAUACUAUAUAUACACCUAUAUACUAUAUAUUGUGCAUAUACCAUAUACACACAUAUAUAUUAUAUAUAUACUACACACAUACUGUACACAUUGUAUAUGAAUUCCAUACAUACAAUAUAUGCUGUGUGCACUACUACAUAUACACUGUAUAUACCAUAUAUAUUAUAUAUGUCAUAUAUACAAUAUAUAAACCUAUGUACUAUAUAGUGUAUAUGCUAUAUAUGUGUGUAUGCACUAUAUGUGUACUGUAUAUAUACUGUAUAUAUUGUAUAUACAUUCCAUACACUGCAUAUACACUACAUAUACACUGUAUACAAGGUACAGUGCAAUUGAACUGUAGAAUCCUCCCCAGCCCCUAAGCUGUAGAAGUCACCAUCCUGGCAAAAUGGAGCUACUGUGGCCUCCCUAGAUGUUCAAGCCACGUAUCUGCUAAUCCUCCUGCAUUCCCUUCCCUUCAUCCUCAACAUCAAAACAGCUGGCCAGUGUACCCCAAACUAACUGGGGACCAGGCUAAGCACCUUUCUCUAGUAUCUAGCUGGAUGCUAUUUAACAGCGGCAAUCUAAGGGUUAAAAUAACAUUUAGGACCUGACCCUUUUGCCUACAAGACAGUGGUUGAGUUCACUGGCUGCUUUCCAGAGGACCUGGGUUCAAUCCGCAGCACCUACAGUGUAGCUCACAACUGUCUGUGACUCCGGCUCUCUCACACCCAUGCACAUCAAACUAAAUGAGUUAUUUUUUAAGGAGUCUUGCUUAUAUUACUUUAAGUAACUCAUUUAUUUUAAAUUAUGUUUAUGAAUUGUGUGUGUGUGCGCACACACAUGUGCACAGCAUGAAUACGGGUGAAGACAAAUGCGUGUUUGCACUGCUGCCCUUGGUUCUUCCGGGGGUCGACUCUGAAGUAUGAUGAUGAGGUCAUGUGAUAAUUCCAUAUAGCAUCGUUUUAAACAAUAACUCAUAUACUUCAUUCCUUUCUAACUUGUUUUAUGUAUCGGAGUGUCGGCCUGCAUGUACGUCUGUCUGUGCAUGGCGAGCAUGCAGGAGCCCACGGAGGUCAGGAGAAGGCAUUAGAUUCCCUGGAACUGGAGUCAUGGAUGGUGGUGAGAAGACCCAGGUCUUCUACAAGAGCUGUGAUCAUUCUUAACCACUGAGCCACCAUUCCAGCUCCUGUAGUUUAUUCCUAAUUUAACCAGUUCCUCUAGUUCCUAUAGAAGUAGCUAAUGUUAGUUACAUUGUCUAUAUAGAAUUUAAUAGCAGCUUCUCCAGAUUUCUCACCAACCCCCAUCCUCUUACUGUGUUGGCUCCUCCCUCUCCCGGGCUCCUGACUGACCACCCACUUUCCUCCUCCAGACACUCCAGGCUUCCAGGCUUAGGUCAGAUGUCCCCUGGGCCUCACUCACACUGAACAAACCCCUCACUGCCUCCUCCAGCUGCUCGGGCCUCAGCCAUGCACUAAGUUCACCGGCCUCUUCUCUGUUCCUCAUGAUGCCUCCUGCCCCAGGACGUUUGUACCAGCUAUCUCCUCCACCAGGACAUCCCCGAAUCUCUUCCCUAUGGAGUUUGUAAUUUCAGUCUCUGACAACAGAAUGACCAUCCACAGACACACACACCCCCAAAAAAAACCCUCAGAUACAGUUGCUACCUCACCUCUAGACAUGCUACUGGGACUCCCCAGCUCGAGUCCAGCCCACUGAAUGAUGGGACACAAUUCCUUUUACUGGAUGGUAGUAUCCAUGGACUCCUGAUAGAGGAACUGGUCCAAACAGGCUUGAAGGGAGCGGAAGCUCUCCCAUCACACUGAGACACCCCAGAAACUCUCCCAUCACACUGAGACAUCCCAGUUUAAAAAUAAUGCAGAAGCCAAGUGUGGUGGCGAACACCUUUAAUCCCAGCACCCGGGGGGGGGGGGCACAGAAGCAGGCGGAUUUCUGAGUUCGAGGUCAUCCUCUGCUAAGUAGUAAUUUGGGCUACAUGGGAUCAUGUUGAAAGAAAGGGAGGAAGGAAGGGAGGAGGGAGGAGAGAGGGAGGGAGGGAGGGAGGGAGAAGGAAAAGGAGAGGAAGAGGAAGAGAGGGCGCAGGAAGGUUGGGAACACAGCCUGAGUGUCAUCUCACCUCUGACCUGCCUGCUGUGACCACCUGCAGGGUCCCCUUCAGGGAGAAACAGAGAUGAGAGAGAUGAGCAGGAGGAAGAGGAAGUGAGAUGGGAGGCAGAGAGAGAGAGAGAGUUUUCAGGCUGACUCACACUGUCAAUCAAGGAACUAGACAUCAGCUUUGCAGAAGAGCAAAUAGGGAGGACCUAGGACUUCUUAUCACUGGAAGCUCACCCUGGGCUCCUGUGUUAGGGAGCAGCAGCCCCCCAAUCAGGAGUAGAUAAGACAUCAAUGUGUUCAGUGGGGACUGGCCUAAAGGAACUUAGACAUCUCCCCCUCCUCAUCCUUUGCCUGACAAAAGGUCAACCUAAAAAGCCAACAUGAAAAGCUCUUCGCUGCCAAGGAACUGGAAUCCCAUCCACUAGGCCUCGGCCAUGGAGUCUGCACACACAGCCUCGAAAGCCUCCUAAGACCAGGGGUGGAGAUGGUGACUCUCUCAAAAACACCUGGACUUUCUACCUUGGCCAGUGUGAUGGUUAAUCUCAAUAGUC